GCUCUGGUGGCUUAGUGGUUAGAGCGACAACCUCGGAUGCGGGAGGUCGUGGGUUCGAUCCCCAGUCGAAUCA